rnacentral:rRNA from 1 species
UACGAAGGGGGGCUAGCGUUGUUCGGAAUUACUGGGCGUAAAGCGCACGUAGGCGGAUACUUAAGUCAGGGGUGAAAUCCCGGGGCUCAACCCCGGAACUGCCUUUGAUACUGGGUAUCUCGAGUCCGGAAGAGGUGAGUGGAAUUCCGAGUGUAGAGGUGAAAUUCGUAGAUAUUAGGAAGAACACCAGUGGCGAAGGCGGCUCACUGGUCCGGUACUGACGCUGAGGUGCGAAAGCGUGGGGAGCAAACAGG